CCGAGUAGCUGGGACCACAGGCGCGCGCCACCGCGCCCGGCCCAGUCUCAAUUUGAAAGGUCUAAGCCCAGCUCAC